GCCUUGAUGGUGAAAUGGUAGACACGCGACAUUCAAAACGUCGUGCUAAACAGCGUGGAGGUUCGAGUCCUCUUCAAGGCA
rnacentral:tRNA from 7 species